AGAGCGAACGCUGGCGGCAGGCCUAACACAUGCAAGUCGAGCGGCCGUAGCAAUACGGCAGCGGCAGACGGGAGAGUAACACGUGGGAACGUGCCUAUCAGUUCGGAACAACCCAGGGAAACUUGGGCUAAUACCGGAUACGCCCUUACGGGGAAAGAUUUAUCGCUGAUAGAGCGGCCCGCGUCUGAUUAGCUAGUUGGUGAGGUAAUGGCUCACCAAGGCUACGAUCAGUAGCUGGUCUGAGAGGAUGAUCAGCCUCACUGGGACUGAGACACGGCCCAGACUCCUACGGGAGCAGCAGUGGGGAAUAUUGGACAAUGGGCGCAAGCCUGAUCCAGCCAUGCCGCGUGGAUGAUGAAGGCCUUAGGGUUGUAAAGUCCUUUCGACGGGAAGAUAAUGACGGUACCGUAGAAGAAGCCCGGCUAACUCGUGCCAGCAGCCGC
rnacentral:rRNA from 1 species